UCUCGGCUUAUCACCGGCAGUCCCCUUAGAGUGCCCAACUAAAUGAUGGCAACUAAGGGCGAGGGUUGCGCUCGUUGCGGGACUUAACCCAACAUCUCACGACACGAGCUGACGACAGCCAUGCAGCACCUGUGCCCAGGCUCCCUUUCGGGCACCCCCGGAUCUCUCCGGGGUUCCUGGCAUGUCAAGGGUAGGUAAGGUUUUUCGCGUUGCAUCGAAUUAAUCCACAUCAUCCACCGCUUGUGCGGGUCCCCGUCAAUUCCUUUGAGUUUUAAUCUUGCGACCGUACUCCCCAGGCGGUCAACUUCACGCGUUAGCUGCGUUACCAAGUCAAUUAAGACCCGACAACUAGUUGACAUCGUUUAGGGCGUGGACUAC
rnacentral:misc_RNA from 1 species